GCAUCAUCCUCGCUGCAAGUGGCGUUUACAGAACCAGAACACUGAGCAUCAUCCUGGCUGACGGUGGCGUUCACAGAACCAGAACCCUGAGCAUCAUCCUCGCUGCAAGUGGCGUUCACAGGACCAGAACACUGAGCAUCAUCCUGGCUGAAGGUGGCGUUCACAGAACCAGAACCCUGAGCAUCAUCCUCGCUGCAAGUGGCGUUCACUGAACCAGAACACUGAGCAUCAUCCUGGCUGAAGGUGGCGUUCACAGAACCAGAACCCUGAUCAUCAUCCUGGC